rnacentral:rRNA from 1 species
AGCGAACGCUGGCGGCAGGCCUAACACAUGCAAGUCGAGCGGGCAUACUUGUGGUGUCAGCGGCAGACGGGUGCGUAAGGCGUGGGAACGUGCCCUACGUUUCGGACUAACUCAGCGAAACUUGAGCCAAUACCGGAUACGUGCGAGAGCAGCAUGGUUUAUCUGCCGAAGGACCGGCGCGCGUCUGAUUUGCUAGUUUGUGAGGGUAUGGUUCACCAAGGCGUCGAUCAGUAGCUGGUCUGAGAGAAUGAGCAGCCACACUGGGGCGGAGACACGGCCGGGAAUCCUACGCAAUGGGGGAAAGCGUGAUAGAGCAAAAUCGCGUCAGUGCUGAAGGAGCCAGGCCGGGAGAGUGAUGAUGUUGUGAAGGAAGUAAAGCUCUUUUCUCCGGGACGGUAAUGACGGUACCGGAGGAAUAAGCCCCGGCUAACUUCGUG